UACGUAGGGUGCGAGCGUUGUCCGGAAUUAUUGGGCGUAAAGAGCUCGUAGGCGGUUUGUCACGUCUGCUGUGAAAUCCCGAGGCUCAACCUCGGGUAUGCAGUGGGUACGGGCAGACUGGAGUGCGGUAGGGGAGAAUGGAAUUCCUGGUGUAGCGGUGGAAUGCGCAGAUAUCAGGAGGAACACCGAUGGCGAAGGCAGUUCUCUGGGCCGUAACUGACGCUGAGGAGCGAAAGCGUGGGGAGCGAACAGG
rnacentral:rRNA from 1 species